GGUAAUUCAAACAGAAGGUGUUUUCACAGAUGAAGCAUCAGAGCCACAGCAACCUGCUGAGUUAACAAAAUAUGCUGAAGGUUAGUUAAGAUUCUAUUUUCCAAUUCAUCUUCAGAGAGUAAAGCCACGGAAGAUGAUGUCUAUUUGUGGAGAGUAGUAAAAAUCUGGACAAGCUUAUUCAGAAAUUGGUUGCCUGGGAUGUUCCAGAGGUACUGGAUUCUAUGUGUGGUAGAGGCAGUGGCCAUAAAUUAAUUGACCUUGACCUACAGGCUUAGGGGCAUACAUAAUUUGCCUAGUUGGUGGAGAACUAGGAUUUGAGCUGGGCUCUCUGACCCCAAAGCCCCCAUUAUCCAGUACUCCGUUGCAGGGCCCUGGUCUGAGUGAUACAGAGGUUUGGGUCCCAGUCCUGAGUCUACUGUCUAUGUGGUCAAGUCACCCAUUAGCUUCCAGCCUCAGUUUCUGUAAACAAUUCACUCAUGUGAUCUGAAGGCCCCUUUUACACUGAGAAGCAUGUAACUCUCCCCCCUCCUCCUCCUGCUUGCCCUCCCUCUGCUUUCUUCUCUCCCAAAUACAUGAAAAGCCAAAUAAGCAAACAGAAUAAAAGUUCAGCCUCCAAUAAACCACUUAGCAUCAUGUUAGGCAAUUUUAACUUGUGAAGAGCUUUUGGUUUAAUGGUUUAGACGAACCAUUAGAGACACAGGCAUACUAGAAGGAAGAAUAUGUACUUGAAAAUUUAAUGAUUUUGAAUCCUUAUGAAUAUAAUCACCCUGCUGAGAGAGUCACUUGUCUGAGGGGGGAAAGAGAAAAACUCACCAGGUUCUCAAUGGCUCAUUUAUUUAUCUGCUAUUUUUAGUUGCAGGUUUACUUAUUUCAGAUGAAGAGCUAAUAAUGAAUGUGCUGUGUGUUCACAAACUCGAAAUAAUAAUGACACAGUUUCUCUUAAAAAAAAAUGCAUGUCCUAAACAAUGAAGAAAGAUCUGUGUGUUCUAUUUUACAGUGAUUUCUCUUUUUCAUAGAGAGAUC